AACUCUAAAUUAGAAGACGAUAUUGUGGAUUUGCAUGCACGAUCGAUGAGGGAUAAUUUGUUGUUCUUUAACAUUCCAGAGAAAACCCUAGCUAACAACAGACGAGAUGAAAACUGUUCAUUAAAAAUUCUCAACUUUUGUGAAAACAAUCUAAAAAUGUCAGAUGCUAAGAACUGACCUGAUAGUUAAAUCUCUUGAUCCAUCCCUGAGUAUCAGAGUAAACAUUUAUGGCGAAAUUGUGACGGUAGAUGGCGCUAAAGUAGUAAUGGCCGACCAGAAUGCUACUAAUGGCGUUAUUCACGUGAUUGACAAAGUGAUGUUUCCCUUACCAGCGCAGAUAUCCCAACCACCGUAGCUGCAGACAAAGAACUGAGCACACUUCUUACAGCUGUUAAAGAAGACAGCUUGCUGGUCCUUUAGCCGGAAGUGGACCUUUCACCCUUUUUGCACCAAGCAAUGCCGCUUUCCAAAAAUUACCACCAGGCGCACUCGAUGACUUACUACGUAACAAAACAGCACUUGUAGGUGCGUCAGAAAAAUUCAAUUUUUUUUUUCAAAAACUACAAUUAAGACAAUGAGAUGCAACUACAUAUACAUACAUAUACGAUCCGAACUUUAAAAUGACUGGUAUUUGAACAGCCAAAAUAAUUAAGUAGUUUUUCAAAUGACUUCUUUGCUUUAACGUGGUUUGUAAGCUUCAUAAUCACGGAAACGAUAAUAAAGACCACAAUUUUUUCAGGUGUGAAGAAUGCAAUAAAUUUUGGUGAAAAUGUGAAAGUAGAAAAUAAACAACUUGAUAAUCUUUCAAGCAAUUGUUAGACAUAUUCUGACCAAUGAAAUUACCUGACGGCAGUUAAUAGUGAUACAACUCAUUAUGUGCUUAUCUUUCUGGAAUUUCCCCUGGUUGAAUGCAUGUCGAAAAGUACUGUCACCUCACAUUAAAAAGUUCAUUUAUUACACAUUUAUUAUCUUCAAGUGCACGUGUCUCUCAAAUAUCUUUGUAGUCUUGAAAAAUCUGAGUUAGUGUAUUUGGAGGAUAUGCAGUUCGGUCUUUGUGUUGAAUUUUAACAAAAUAGCACCGGAUUCAAAAACUGAAGAAAAAAAUGCGCUGGAUCACUAAUGAUUAAUUAAGGUGCAAAUAUUAUUUCAAAUAGAAGCAUCUUUCAUAUUUCUAACACACAACAUUUCUCCAAGUUUUGACUAAGACGCUUUUUAAACAUUUAUUCU